CUCUCCGUGGAGGUUCGUCCGACGUGCUCAUGCCCCCCCCCGCCCCCCGCGAACUCCCCUGGUGUUAUAAAAGCGCAGAGCGCGUCACAAAUGCGCACAGAGAGCGAGUUUCGGGUCUGCGGUGCAACCAUGGCCGAAGCUUCCACAGAAGAGGCUUCCAACAUGCCAACGACAACAGAGCCGAGUUGGACAGCUGAGGCAGAAAAGGCUACGACUGAAUCAGCUGCACCAACAUGGGAUCCACAAAUGCAGCCACCGGGAGGAAAGAAGACAGCAUCAGAGAUGCGGAACAACCUGUGGAAGGGCCAGUUGAGGGAAAUCAUCCCACUGGCUAUUUCCGCUUGGGAGACUAUGGAGACCUUGAUACCUGCGAUGAUGAAGCAAGGAGGGAAGAAGGCCGGGGCUCUUGGAGGAGGAGCUUUUGGAGGUGUGACAAACAUUGUGAGAGCAUUGCAGCCACGAAACCGUGCACCAGAACCAGGACCUUCUGGAAUGCAGAACGUCGAGAGUUCAAUCUAAGAACCGAGUUAUGUGAGGACGAGCCAGCCCUACACCCCUACACCCCCAUGAGUUUAUACCUGAGCAAAGUGGAGCGCAUAGAGUUAAUUACAAGGGCAAGAACUAAAUUUGGCAUCUUUUUAUUUAAAUCUCUCUCACUUCCUUGGUCCACUUGUCUUUUUUUGGAUUCCCAAAGAAUCUGAAUAUCUAAAAUGUGUAAAACGAUGAUCUUUCCAAUCACCACUUAGAUCAUUGAAUGCUUUUUAUUUGUUUUACACAAAAUAAAUGACUGGAAAGGUUUAAUCGGGAGUGUUGUCGUUAAUUUGU
rnacentral:lncRNA from 1 species